UNUGACUUGAGUGCAGAAGGGGAGAGUGGAAUUCCAUGUGUAGCGGUGAAAUGCGUAGAUAUAUGGAGGANCACCAGUGGCGAAAGCGGCUCUCUAGUCUGUCACCGACGCUGAGGCUCGAAAGCGUGGGUAGCGAACAGGAUUAGAUACCCUGGUAGUNCACGCCGUAAACGAUGAGUGCUAGGUGUUAGGCCCNUUCCGGGGCUUAGUGCCGGAGCUAACGCAAUAAGCACUCCGCCUGGGGAGUACGACCGCAAGGUUGAAACUCAAAGGAAUUGACGGGGGCCCGCACAAGCGGUGGAGCAUGUGGUUUAAUUCGAAGCAACGCGAAGAACCUUACCAGGUCUUGACAUCCCGAUGCUAUUCUUAGAGAUAGGAAGUUACUUCGGUACAUCGGAGACAGGUGGUGCAUGGUUGUCGUCAGCUCGUGUCGUGAGAUGUUGGGUUAAGUCCCGCAACGAGCGCAACCCUUAUUGUUAGUUGCCAUCAUUAAGUUGGGCACUCUAGCGAGACUGCCGGUAAUAAACCGGAGGAAGGUGGGGAUGACGUCAAAUCAUCAUGCCCCUUAUGACCUGGGCUACACACGUGCUACAAUGGUCGGUACAACGAGUUGCGAGCCGGUGACGGCAAGCUAAUCUCUGAAAGCCGAUCUCAGUUCGGAUUGGAGGCUGCAACUCGCCUCCAUGAAGUCGGAAUCGCUAGUAAUCGCGGAUCAGCACGCCGCGGUGAAUACGUUCCCGGGCCUUGUACACACCGCCCGUCACACCACGAGAGUUUGUAACACCCGAAGUCGGUGAGGUAACCUUUUAGGGGCCAGCCGCCU
rnacentral:rRNA from 1 species